rnacentral:rRNA from 1 species
AUAUGUAACAUACACGAAGCUGCGUGAGCUAAUUAUAAUCGGGUAUUAUGUUACAUAAUAAUAGCAUGAAUAAUAAUUAGGGGUGAUAGGCCUCCCAAACGCAUGAUAACUUGAUUCUUAAGACAUGUAAAAGUACUAAGACAAUUUAAGAGUUAUAAGGCUCUUAAAGAUAAUUAAGUUCAAUUUAAAUAACUAGUCGGUUUAAACACCUACACCUAUAAUAAUAUAAUAUUAAUAAUGAAUAAUUAUUUAAAUUAAUAAGAUUCGACAAAUUUUGAAUUAUGAUAAUAAUGUUUUCAUAAGUAUUAUGAAGUUAGUAAUAGUGAACUCGGCAUUUUGCUUUCAACUGUUUACCAAAAACAUAGCCAUGUGUAAAUAUACACGGUAAUUUCUGCUCAAUGAGAUUUAAAUAGCCGCAGUACCCUGACUGUGCAAAGGUAGCGUAAUCAUUUGUCUCUUAAUUGGAGUCUCGUAUAAAGGAACAUAUGGGGGCAAUCUUUACCAUUAAUAAUCUAAGAAAUUACUCAUUGGGUGCAAAAUCCCAUAAUUAAUUAAUAGACGAGAAGACCCUAGAAAUUUUUAUAAAUAUUUUGUUGGGGCAACAUAGUAGCAAGUAAAUCUACUAUAUGUAUAUGACUAUAAGUGAUAAAUUAAAUUACUCUAGGGAUAACAGCAUAAUCUAUAAAUGUUUGUGACCUCGAUGUUGGAUUAGGGAGUUGUUGUUUAAA